GUUAGUCUGUAUUUGCAAAAAAGAAAAGGAGUACUUGUGACACCUUAGAGACUAACAAGCUUAUGCUCAAAUAAAUUUUUGUGAGCUAUAGCUCACUUCAUCGGAUGCAUUCCUGACUGACUAUGGUUAUACCAAUCGUGUGUGCCAGCUUCCGUCAGCGUAGGUCAUAUCUUCACAACUGGUGUUUUUAUGCUAAGACAUAAUCCUUGACAGACUCCCUCCCCUCUGAGUUAACAACUGUUAAUGGUUAUGGGUUUCAAAGUAACAUAGAGAAAGUCAGGAUCUGACAAAACUGGAAGUAUACACAAACCCUUUAAACCACUGUCCUGGUGCAUUGCUGGAUCCAUCCCUGACAGAGCAGCAUGGCAGAAAGCUGUGGGGGGGAGAGAAAUGCUUCUGUCUAUUGAAUGCUGUUUUCCUUACACUCCCUCUACAAAGGCUUCAGGAGCAGCAGUGUUGUAUAGGCCCUAACCAGCCCUGCUUACUAAACAGUGGGUGCAUGAGAACCUUCCUAAAAUAAUUUCUAGAGCAGAUCUGUUUUAAAAAAAUAAAUAAAUCCAAUCUUUUUUUCAUUUAAAAAUCAUCAGAGAUGGAGAAUCCAACAUGACCCUUGGUAAAUUGUUCCAAUGGUUUUACUCUCACAGUUAAAAAUGUACACCUUUAUUUGCAGUCUGAAUUUGUCUAGCUUCAACUUCUAGCCACUGGUUCUUGUUAUACCUUUCUUUGUCAGAUUGAAGAACCAGUUAUUAAAUAUGUGUUCCCCAUGUAGGCACACUUAGACUGUAACGAAGUCACCCCUUAACCUUCUCUUUGUUAAACUAACAAGAUGGAGCUCUAUAACUGUGAAGCAUGUCUUCUAAUCAUUCUCAUAGCUCUUCUCUGAGCCUUUUCCAAUUUAUCAACAUCCUGCUUGAAUGAUGGGCAUCAGAACUGAACAUAGUAUUCCAGCAGGAGGCCACAGUAGUGCAAAAUACAAAGGUAAAAUAAUCUCUCUACUCUUUCUCGGGAUUCCCCAAUUUAUGCAUCCCAGGAUCGCACUUGCUCUUUUGGCCAAGCGUCACACUUGGAGCUCAUGUUCAGCUGAUUAUCCACCACUUUUUCAAACUCACUUUCAGGAUGGGGAACUCUAUCCUGGGAAGGAGUAUCUUUGUUCCCAGCUAUAUACAUUUACCUCGACCCCAUAUUAAAAUACAUAUUGUUUCCCAGUUUUCUAGUGAUCUAGAUCUCUGUAGUGUGUUAAGCGUCCACCCACCCCCACGUGUUUGAAAAAAACAGGAACAAUCAUUUUUUCUUUUCCCAGGCUGCAGGAUAAAUAUCUGUAUUCGUUUAUAGGGUGGUUGGUGUGCUGGCUUGCUCGUCCGUGUAUGUAUUAGAAGUCAUGGAAGGACACCAAAUUCUUAAUUUUUUUGGUGCAAAUUCCCCCAGGAGAAGUGUAUGCAUCUCUCUAGCCAAGCUUGAGCCCCAUAGCAUGGGAAGCAAUCUCUUGGUAGUGUGCAGAGGGAAGAUGGAUUUUUUUUCUUUUUUACAGCAUGUCCCUUUGGGCAUCAGUACUGUGAAGUAAUCUGAGGGUACAUGCCCUUGAUAAUCAGGAAUGUUACAGAGGAGGCAGGUUUUUCAAAGGAUUUGUUUGUUUUCCUAUGAGCAUCACCUCAGCCUUGAUUCAGUGUUAACCAACGGCUCUUCUUUCAGGGGCUGAUUUUAGCUAGGCACUGAGAGAGCUGGGAGAUGGGGCUGCUUAUAUUUGACAUAAAGGAGAGAGAGAGCAGGGUGUUAAGCUGUGUACUGCUGGCAUUUCAGCCUGUGUUGUCUCACCAGCUGUCCCAAUAACUCUCAUAUGACUGUUGAAUAGUAACCUGGGGAGAGAACUGAGCCUCCUGGGGCUACCCAGAUAUGGGCUUUGGAGGAACACUUCCCUAGAAUGACCCUCCCAGUGACUUAUUUUUCAAAAGCAUCCCAGAGAAAUGCAAACUCUGCAAAUGCAAAAACAUCCCAGAGCAAUGCACACAGACACACAUGGUGACAAAUCAUUCCCUCUAAUUAUGAUGCUUACAAGUAGCUCAGAUUUUGCCUUGGCAGGACUGUGUUUUCAGUGAGAAUUGAGCACACUCAACCACUGAUACCUAAAAAUCCCAAACUGUGUAAAGUCCCUGGGGGGUAUUGUAAAAAUAUAUAGUCUGGAAUAUCGGAUUCCUAAGACAAAAAUGCAGCUUUUCAAUUCUUAUCCCCAUUUUAUAGAUGGAAAGUAGGUCUCAAAGUUACACUGGGAAAGAACUGGGAUUUGAACCCAGGAAUCCUGGUCCUGUACUCUAACCAGCAGACGCAUUCCCUUCACAAGCAGUAAGGUAUGGGUGCUCAUAGGACAGUGUGAUAUGGAAAUACCUGCCUGCUGUUAGUCACAUCACCAUUCAUCACCACUGCUAUGUAAGUAUGGAAAAACCUCAGAGUCUCAAAGAGAUGAGAGGCAAAUGGCUGAUUGAUUUCACUUUGAACACUUCUGUUUCUUUCUCCCAUACCAUGUACAAACAGCUCAGUGUGGCUUUGCUGCUGAAAAACAUCUGCAGAACUGCAUUUAUUAUCUCCUUCUCCAGAUGUUGCACACGUAGGAAUUUUUGCUGCCACAGUGGGGCGCUGUCCUCCUAUGCUGUUCUAUCUAUUGUAGUGACUGCAUGAUGAGACCUAAUGGAAGAAUUUCCUGGAAGUUAUGGCUAGCUCAUUUUUGCCCCCAUCCAGCUUGUAUUGCCGAUUCCUCCCUGUUUGAACAGCUGAGCAAUUUGGAAGAAUCUUUUGUAAUUGUUUUGGGGUAAAGUUUUGAAGAUAGCUAAUUGAUCUGAUGUAGCAAUACUUUGCUGUGUGACCUUGGAUGAGUGAUUUAAAUUCCUCAUUCCAUUUCCUUAUUUGUAAAAUGGGGAUGAUAACAUUGACCUGCUUUGCAGAGGGUUGCAACUGUGAUGUUGUGAAGGCCAAAAGUAUAACUGGAUUCAAAAAGGAAUUAGAUAAAUUCAUGGAGGAUAGGUCCAUUAGUGGCUAUUAUUCAGGGUGGUCAGGAACACAACCCCAUGCUGUGGGUGUCCCUAAACCUCCAACUGCAAAAAUGAGACUGGAUGACAUGGGAUGGAUCACUCAGUAAAUUGCCCUGAUCUUUUCAUUUUGUCCGCAGACAGGAUACUGAGCUAAAUGGACCAUUGAUCUGACCCAAUAUGGCCUUCUAAUAUUCUUAUUGUUAAUUAUUCAGUGCUGGCUAUAAAGUGCCUGGAGGUCCUGGUUUGGAAGGAGCUAUUGAAGGGUACAGUGUUAUCACUUUACUAUUAAUAUUAGAUUAUUUCCCAGAUUUUUUUUUAAAUGAUUCCACUGUUACAAUCUGUGAUUAUUAGCACUCUGAUUGCUUUACCCUUUAGGAGACUGGCAAAUACUUAGAGGAUCUGACUUUUAGUGGGGUCUUACCCUGGCGCUAACGUGCAGUUUUACAUGUGUGCACACUAACACGCUGGGCAGUUGCAAUCUUUACAUUCUGUUGUUUUCCUUUCAUAGCUUCUCUUAGGAGAGAACACGCCCAUGGCGAAGGACUCUAAAAAUCGGGCCAGCUCCUCUCUUGGCAGAAGGACACAGUGUAGUGCAAGCAGUGCCAAGCUAUUAACCCCACUCUCAGCUGACACUUACUUGGCAGAUGAUGCAGUGACUGGAUGAAUGUUUUAAACACACACGUGCUCUUGAGACCAGUUCCUGUGGGCCUUGUCUGCACUAGAAAAUUAGUAUUCCUGUUCUAGCAAUUGCCAUCAGUUCUGCAAGGGCACUAGUGCAGCGUUUCUCAAAUGUGGCCAACAGUGGAUUUUUGUGUGGCGACAGCAGCCUCCAAAGCAUGAGUGGAGAUUGGAGAAGCAUGGAGGGCAUUGUUGAUAGUGGGGAGCACAAUUUAAAGGUUCAUCCGCCCCUGAAUGGCUUGAGUCACAGCCCCCCCUCCCCUUUACCCUCUGUCUACCCUCCUGGGAAGUGCCCAGCUGUUGCUCCUGAAUCACUGUUACCAAGGGAAGUGAGAUGUACCACCUUUUGUGUUUGCACUGGCGCUGCCAGCAGGGAUUGGUGCCCUGCACCAUGCAGCCUCCUCGUGGGGUCCAGACAGCACCUCUGGAGACACUUGGGGCCAGUGUGCACAGCACCGGAAAUGGCUCAUCAGUGGAGGUGGCUGUGGCGUUAGGUCACUUGGGCACCCCUCUGGGCAGCUCCCCUGCUCCCACCCAGCUGGGACAUGGGGAAUCUGGGACUCUACAGGCAGCCAGUGAGUUCCCGACCCACGUUCCCCAGGGCAGGCUCUCACUGAAGAGCCAUGGGAGGUAGGGGCAGAGACAGGUUGGCCCUUGGACAUGUCUGUCUAUUUGUGUUUCCUAAAGUUAAUUAUUUUAGGAAAAAUUGUAGGAGCAGCCACCAGCAAGAGUUGGUGGCCACACUCUGAGACCACCAAAUAUUUUGUUGUGAGAACCCCUGUGCUAGUUGUAGCAAUGGAAUCAUUAUUGCUUUGAAUAGGUUGUCCUGACAGAGCAGUGGUAACCCCUGAGCUCUGUCUACACUAACAGCUUAGCACCAGUGCAGCUGUCCCAUUGCUGGCUGCUGUUGUAAUAAUGAUUUUUUUUUUUCUCCCCUGCGGUAGAUGCACUAGCUGGCUGGGAAGACUGACACUGCUUGAUAAUAAAGUAGAAUGCAGAUUUGGGGUAUAGCUCAAGUCUAAUUUAACAACAGACUUUCAGCUUGAUGAUUUUUUUUAAACUAAUGUCUUUGCAUUGCAGUGAACUAAAGUUAUUAGCCUUUAAUUACAAUAGGAGAUUUCUUCUUUACCUUUUUAGAGAUCACAGAAAUCCAAUGCAUUUCUCAAGCUGUGAGCCAGAAAUCAAACAUUCAUCACAUAAUUGCAGUAACAAUGUGCUAAUACUUCAUUAAAUAUGAUUUAUGAAUUCUACAAGAGCAUAAUAGGAAAAUACAUGAAUUCCAUUCCAAAGUUGGCAAAAAUUCCAACAUUCCAGUUUAAUUUAAUGGCUCAAAGAUUUCACCAGAACCAUGCUGCUCUAUGUGAAGAGUUUAACAAAGGGAUCUCUCUUCACAUUUUGGGCAUCAUCAAGGGAGAUAGGAUUGCCUAAGGCACAGGUAUUGGACUUGAAAGACCUGGGUUCAAUUCCUGCCUCUGUUAUAGUUUGCCAAGUGACUUCCCUUCUUUGUGUACUUUGCUUUAGUUUCUCCAUCUGUGAAAUGGGGAUUAUGCUCCUGACCUCUGGAAGGCACUUUCAAAUCUGCUGAUGAAGAUUGCUACGCAAGAACUUCUUGUUCUUCUUUUGCUAUUUGCCUCCCUCCACUUCUACAAUCAAGAUGUCAAGACAUAGAAGAAUAUUGUAAAUGUUAGCGUAGGUUCAUACUAGUAAGAGGGGUAAAAAAUUAUUAGACAAUGAGUCCAGAUACUUGCAAAGGCUGGUUAUUGUUUCCUGAGAGAUUAUAUCCAAUCUUAAACUGAUAUUGUACUUGAUCUAAGCUAGUAUGGGGCCCUCUAUACUUAGGCCUCAAGGAAUCUAUAUAAUGGAAUUUGAACAUUUUUAGGUUCUUUCAGUUAACCUUUUUUUCUCCAUAGUCUGUGUGAAAGAGGUAAAAAGUGCAACCAUUAUCUUAAGUUAAUGAGGUUUUUCUGAAUACGCAUAUGUCAGAUACUCCCCUCCUGUAUAGUUUUGAUGACAGCAUACCAUGACUUGCUAUUGUAUGAAAUAUGAAAUGAUGGGAGUGAAUAAUCAUUGUAAUUCUGGCUCAAAACUGAUGUAAUAAAAUGUCCUUAAGGGAUUUAUAUUUUUA